GGAGGUUGCAAGCGUUGUUCGGAUUUACUGGGCGUAAAGGGAGCGCAGGCGGCUUGGUCAGUCUAAAGUGAAAUCCCGGGGCUCAACCCCGGAAGUGCUUUGGAUACUGCCAAGCUUGAGUACGUGAGAGGUGAGCGGAAUUCCAGGUGUAGCGGUGAAAUGCGUAGAUAUCUGGAGGAACAUCGGUGGCGAAAGCGGCUCACUGGCACGAAACUGACGCUGAGGCUCGAAAGCGUGGGGAGCGAACGGGGGAUUAGAUACCCCGGUAGUCCACGCCGUAAACGUUGUGCACUAGGUGUAGGGGGUAUCGACCCCUCCUGUGCCCGGAGUUAACGCAUUAAGUGCACCGCCUGGGGGAGUACGAUCGCAAGAUUG
rnacentral:rRNA from 1 species